rnacentral:lncRNA from 1 species
AGCACCCGGGCGCGUCCGGGGCUGUGGGAGCCGAAAGUUGGGGUCUUGCUCUGUCGCUCAGGCUGGAGUGCAGUGGCAUGAUCAUGGGUCACUGCAGCCUUGAACUCCUGGGCUUAAGGGAUCUUCUCAUCUCAGUCUCCUAAAUAGCUGGGACUACAGGCUCAGGCCACCAUGCCUGCAUGAGGCCCUCACCAGAUACAGCCACCUGAUCUUGGACUUCACAGCCUCCAGAAAUAGAUGCCUUCUGCCAUGAUUAUAAGUUUCCUGAGGCCUCCCCAGCCAUGCAGAACUUCCAGUGAUUCAAGUUUGACACACCACACCACGGUGGAUGUGCCUUGUCAUGACACAUCUCAGCAGCACUAGAAGAUACAUCCAAAGUCCUGUGAGCAAGGUCUGUGGUAUCUGUUUAUUAUGGCAGCCCAGUAAGACUAAGACAGGCCAUCACAAGACGUGAACGUUUUGGACCUUCUCUUGGGCCCUAGUAAACAGAAAUCAGAAGGAAGAAAACUUUGCUAAUGCUCUGCCAAGCCUCACUUUUCUCUCAUGAUUAGAAGGUUUGAUGUUAUCCAGAAUUACUCAUGGAAGAUGGAAGAGCUGCAGCAUUACAAUGAAAGCCAUCUUACAACAGCCUGAGCUAUUUAUUAAACUAAUCCACGUUCUGAACAGUUAUUGCUACUGGAAACCAGUCCCGAUCCAGACCACAAAAGACGAUUCUUGGAUCUUGCACAAGAAAGAAAGGGAAGAUCUGGCAAGAGUUAGCGUGCAGUUCUACAUUGUGACAAUUCAUGAGAGCUAAGGACUGGCUGUCUCUUGGGACAAAUAGGCUUUCUUGAGUCUGCAUGAGGCCCUCACCAGAUACAGCCACCUGAUCUUGGACUUCACAGCCUCCAGAAAU